rnacentral:lncRNA from 1 species
CCAAGCAAGGGAACAAAGAGAAAAAGAGUAGAACAAACCCUAGGAAGGAAAAAUCCAAGAGAAAUUGUUGGAUUUCAAGGAAUCAAGCAAGUAAAGGUAAGAUUUUUUUAUUUUAGCUUGUGAUCUACCUUUCCCAUGCAAUCUUUUUCAUUCUCCAGGGUUGAAAUUCAAGUUUUCAAGAGGGAACCUUUGCUGGCCAAACCUAGAGAGAGAAGUUUUGGUGAUGAAUUUUGCUAGAUUUCAUAAUAUCCUAGUGUUUUUAGUCAUUUUGUGAUGUUUGGAAGGAAAAACAAAAAAAUCACAUGUUCUUCAACCACCCUUAUUUGGCCGAAUUUUCUAUAGGGCAUGUUGAUGAUGGAUUUGGUUGUAAUUCAUGUUAUUUAGCUAGGAAUUGAUGAAUUAUGAUGUUCGAUAUCGAAACCAGUUAUUGAAAAGUAUAGUUCCCUUAGAAAAUGGCUUGAUGGAAACAGAGAAAAUCAUAGUAAAUGGACUUGGAUUUGAUUCUUAUUGAUAUAUAUGGAUUUACAAGACUGUGUAGACAUUGAUUAGUAUGUUAGUUCGGAAUCGAAUUGAAUUUCGAAAAAUGGUGAAGUUAGUCAAAAAUCAAGUUCAUUGUAAUGCUUUAGUGUAUUAGAUUAUUGGAAGUGUAAUGAAUAAAUUUGGAGUUGAAUCGGAUGUUUUAGUUAAAUCAAUGGUGUAUAGUUCGAAUUAGGUCGAAUACAAAUUCCUUCUGAUCACAAUUGAACCUGUGUAGAACACCGUGUUUAAGUGACUAUCCGAGCAUUUCUCAUUCAACUUCAUGCAUUCAUAUAGAGUUUGAAAUAGUUUAUAACAAUUUGACACCAAUGUAUUGAAUUACGUAUUGUGUAUUAUGGAUAGGUGCUGAACCCCUCAAUAAGGGCAAAGAUAUCGUGCCGGAGGAUCGAGAAUAGGAGUACUCCUACCACUCCAAAUUCCCAUUAUAGUGAGUAAUCAGAUGUUCAUAUUAAUUAUCUAAAGUGGUUUAUACUUGUUUUAAGAUUUUAAAGAAUAAAGCACAUAAUUUGUAAAUUAUUAUGUUUUACAUUUUAAAUAUUGGUUAAAUGAUUGAGAUUUAUAAAUUAUUCUAAAACUAAAUGUUGAUUUUCGAAAUAGAGUAAGUGGAGGCUGUACAUUCGUAUUAUAUAUAUAUACAUGAUUUGAAUUGAUGGCUUAUGAAAUUAUGGUAGCAUGUAUGGCUGAAAUUGUGGUUUUGUCAAUUAUAUAAAUUGUUUUGUCUUACAUUGACAGAUUGGAUAGUAUUAUAUUAGCCAUGUUAUGCUGCCAAAAUUUUAUUGAUUUGGUGGGUUAUGUAUUUAGCUUACUGUAAUGGGCGGUUUUUCGGGGACGAGCCUAUUAGAAGGGCACGAUAAACCUCGUUAUAUUUACCUUAGUACGAGAGGCGCGGAGGGUAUCUCCUAAAGUAAAGUUUAGAGUUCACUUCACGCCGAACCACCACGUGAAAGUGAAACUCAGCCAAUGCCAAGGAACGACUAUGUUUUUAAACAUGAAAACAUGUUUUAUGUGUAUAUGUCUUUUUACUUGCCUUGGCGGACUUGGUUGGAUGCUCGGCGCAAGGCAUCAUCGAGUACUAAUUUUUGGCACAAGCCAAGUUUUUAAGAAAAUCAUAAGCCUUGUUGAUUUUCUUGAUGAAAUGUGAUUGUUUUUACAUGGAUUGAAAUGGGUUUUGAUGCUAUGAAUUAUAUAUAUAUAUUGAUGGGAUGAUUUAACUGACUUCAUUUACUCGACUUUAGAUGCUACAAACGAACUUUGCUUACUCACUGAGUUCAUAAAAACUCACCUCUUCUUUUUUUUAACCAUUUCAGGUUUAGGAUAGUCUGUAGAUAGCUGAUUUCGUUGAGGAUCUACUUUUGGAUUUACAUCCUUAGAAAUCAAAGGUCUACCUUCUUGUACAUAUUUGUUUAUUUUGGGGGCCCACAUGUCAUUGUAGAAUAUUUUGUAUACCUGGCUGCGUGUCCCAUUGUAUGUAUGAAUUUAUUUUGGGUUUACGCUACAAAAAUUAUUUACGCAAAGUUCUAUAAAUAUUGUUUUAUAAGAAAUGGAAUAUUUUAUUUAAUAUUUUUAUUUAAUUUGAAUAGCUAUAAUUUCACUUUAAAUUGAUGAAUUAGACAAUGAAACUUAUUUUUAGACAUGAAAUGGAUGCUUAUUACUCGUAUAUCACAUUUUUACCAAAGUUCGAAAAAUUUAGGUAAAAUGACCAAAAUGCCCUUGCGUAGUAGAAAUUACUUUUUGAUUGUUUUUGAUUAGAAAUUAGUCUAUAUUUCUUUAAAACAUGGUAUUUAAUAACUGUUGCUCAUAGGGGAGAAGUAAAACUGAUGCGAAAGCCUUGCAAGGUUUCAGUUAGCAUUCUGGGUUAUGAAUGUCAAUCGAGACAUCACGGCUGUUGUCAAGGGCUCGAUGGAAAUUCUGGGUCGUGCAGCACUUGCUGCUAAACAUAUUGAGACUCCUCCACAUCCUCCACCUCCUCCGCCAUCUACUAAUAUUCCUGGUGUUCCUGCCAUGUCUCUUGAGGCAGUUUAGGCAUUGACAGCUUUUCCUACUGCUAUUACUUGCCAGGCUCAGGUUGGUCAAGCUCCUCUUGCUGUUCCUCUAGCCGCACCUCCAGUGCCACCAUCACCACUUCUUGUUCCACCACAGGUGCUUGAUGUCUCCAUUUCUAAGAAACUUAAGGAGGCUAGGCAGAUAGGUUGCAUUUCUUUUAUGGGUCAUUUAGACGCAACAACAGCUAAAGACUGGAUCAUUUAGGUAUCAGAGACAGUUAUAGAUAUGAAAUUAUAUGAUGAUAUUAAAUUAAUGGUGGCUGCAAGUCUACUUGAAAAGAGGGCCCGUACUUGGUGAAAUUCGGUAAAAUCUCGUUCUGCUACUCCUUUGACAUGGUCAGAUUUUCUAAGGGAGUUCGAUGGCCAAUAUUAAACUUAUUUUCAUCAAAAGGAAAAGAAAAGAGAGUUCUUAAGUUUGAAACAAGGAAAUUUGACAAUAGAGAAGUAGAAGGCUCGUUUUAACGAGCUAAUGUCUUAUGUACCCGAUCUGGUGAAAAUCGAGCAAGAUCAAGCUAACUACUUCGAAGAAGGGCUCCGAAAUGAAAUUAGAGAGUGCACGACAGUGACAAGUAAGGAGUCAUAUAAAGAGUUAGUACAAAUGGCUCUAUGCGUUGAAAAGCUUACAAUUGAGAGUAGGAGGAUUCGGGCUAAGUUUGCUAAAAGGAGAAAUCCCAGUACAUUUUUUGGCCAGCCCUUGAAAAAGGCCAAGGACUCAUAUACUUCAGGGAGUGCUACCACUAGUUCAGUAGCAUCUACUCGACCCCCAUCUCAACAGUCGCAACAAAAGUCUCCUAAAUUCAGUAGAUCAGAGAAAAAUGCUCUUGGGAGGAGUUUUGGGGAGAUGAAACAGACCCAAAAGAAUUCCCUGAAGAACAAACCCUAGGAAGGAAAAAUCCAAGAGAAAUUAUUGGAUUUCAAGGAAUCAAGUAAGUAAAGGUAAGAUUUUUUUAUUUUAGCUUGUGAUCUACCUUUCCCAUGCAUUCUUUUUCAUUCUCCAUGGCUGAAAUUCAAGUUUUCAAGAGGGAACCUUUGCUGGCCAAACCUAGAGAGAGAAGUUUUGGUGAUGAAUUUUGCUAGAUUUCAUAAUAUCCUAGUGUUUUUAGUCAUUUUGUGAUGUUUGGAAGGAAAAACAANNNNNNNNNNNNNNNNNNNNNNNNNNNNNNNNNNNNNNNNNNNNNNNNNNNNNNNNNNNNNNNNNNNNNNNNNNNNNNNNNNNNNNNNNNNNNNNNNNNNNNNNNNNNNNNNNNNNNNNNNNNNNNNNNNNNNNNNNNNNNNNNNNNNNNNNNNNNNNNNNNNNNNNNNNNNNNNNNNNNNNNNNNNNNNNNNNNNNNNNNNNNNNNNNNNNNNNNNNNNNNNNNNNNNNNNNNNNNNNNNNNNNNAAAAAUCACCAGAAUUAAACUUUUUCACUUCCUAUCAUUAAAUUAUACUCCAAAUAGUUAAUCUUGGUCAAAAAUUUCACUCCAUGAUCAAAUUAUUAUCUUAGGUGGCAAAAUGACGAUUUUGCCCUUGAACAUCAAAAUUUCCAAUUUUACCCCAAAUGAACCCUCGAACUCCGAACAAUCAUUUUUAGUGAUUCCUGGACUAUAAAAUAUUAAAUUUCAUCCUACAAUUCCUAUUUGAACUAGUUCGAGGUUAAAUCAACUCAAGUGUAUCCUUAGGUACGAUAUCGGGUUUCGUCUUUUCUUAGGUGCUUUCCUAGCAUAAUAACAUGCUACUCAGUGCAUGUAUGUCAUGACAUGUAUUUAUAGGGUCAGGUUUUACAUAGUGCGAGUUAGGUCGAAUGUCAAUUCAGUCCGAUCAUAAUUGAAUUCACGUAGAACACCGUCCUUAAGUGAUUAUUCGAACAAUUCUCAUUCAAUGUCAUGCAUUCAUAUAGAGCCUAAAAUAGUUUUAUAACAGUUUGGCACAAAUAUAUUGAAUUACGUGUCGUGUAUUAUGUAUAGGUGGUGAGCCCUCUAAUAAGGGUAAAGAUAUUAUGCCCGAGGAUCGAGAAUAGGAAUACUCCUACCACUCCAAAUUCCCAUUAUAGUGAGUAAUCAGAUGUUCAUCUUAAUUAUCUAAAGUGGUUUAUACUUGUUUUAAGAUUUUAAAGAAUAAGGCACUUAAUUUGUAAAUUAUUAUGUUUUACAUUUUAAAUGUUGGUUAAAUGAAUGAGAUUUAUAAAUUAUUCUAAAACUAAAUGUUGAUUUUCGAAAUAGAGUAAGUGGAAGCUAUACAUUCGUAUUAUAUAUAUAUAUACAUGAUUUGAAUUGAUGUCUUAUGAAAUUAUGGUAGCAUGUAUGGCUGAAAUUGUGGUUUUGUCAAUUAUAUAAAUUGUUUUGUCUUACAUUGACAGGUUGGAUAGUACUAUAUUAGCCAUGCUAUGCUGCUAAAAUUUUUUUGAUUUGGUGGGUUAUGUAUGUAGCUUAAUGCAGUGGGUGGGUUUCCGUGGACCAUCCUAUUAGAGGGGCACGGUAAACCCCGUUAUAUUUACCCUAUUACGAGAGGCGCGUAGGGUAUCUCCUAAGGUAAAGUUUAGAGUUCACUUCACGCCAAACCACCACGUGAAAGUGAAACUCAACCAACGCCAAGUAACGGCUAUGUUUUUAAACAUGAAAACAUGUUUUAUGUGUAUAUGUCUUUUAACUGCCUUGGCUUACUCGGUUAGAUGCCCGACGCAAGGCAUCAUUGAGUAUUAAUUUUUGACACAAGCCAAGUUUUUAAGAAAGUCAUAAGCCUUGUUGAUUUUCUUGAUGAAAUGUGAUUGCUUUCACAUGGUUUGAAAUGGGUUUUGAUGCUAUGAAUUAUAUAUAUAUUGAUGGGAUGAUUUAACUGUCUUCAUUUACUUGACUUUAGAUGCUACAAACGAACUUUGCUUACUCACUGAGUUCAUAAAAACUCACGUCUUCUUUUUUUUAACCAUUUCAAGCACAUGAUAGUCUAUAGAUAGCUGAUUUCGUCGAGGAUCUACUUUUGGAUUUACAUCCUUAGAAAUCGAAGGUCUACCUUCUUGUACAUAUUUGUUUAUUUUGGGGGCCCACAUGUCAUUGUAGAAUAUUUUGUAUACCUGGCUGCGUGUGCCACUGUAUGAAUGAAUUUAUUUUGCUUUUACGCCACAAAAAUUAUUUACGUAGAGUUUUAUAAGAAAAUGGAAUAUUUUAUUUAAUAUUUUUAUUUAAUUUGAAUAGCUAUAAUUUCACUUUAAAUUGAUGAAUUAGACAACAAAACUUAUUUUUAGACAUGAAAUGGAUGCUUAUUACUCAUAUAUCAUAUUUUUACCAAGGUUCAAAAAUUUUGAGUAAAAUGACAAAAAUACGCCUGUGUAGUAGAAAUUACUUUUUGAUUGUUUUUGAUUUGAAAUUAGUCUAUAUUUCUUUCAAACAUGGUAUUUAAUAACUGUUGCUCACAGGGGAGAAGUAAAACUGAUGCGAAAGCCUUGCGAGGUUUCGGUUGGCAUU